CGGACGGGUGAGUAAUGUCUGGGAAACUGCCUGAUGGAGGGGGAUAACUACUGGAAACGGUGGCUAAUACCGCAUAACGUCGCAAGACCAAAGAGGGGGACCUUAGGGCCUCUUGCCAUCGGAUGUGCCCAGAUGGGAUUAGCUAGUAGGUGGGGUAACGGCUCACCUAGGCGACGAUCCCUAGCUGGUCUGAGAGGAUGACCAGCCACACUGGAACUGAGACACGGUCCAG
rnacentral:rRNA from 1 species